GCUUAUUUUUUAGUAUUGUGAAGAUUUUUUUCCACCCUUUAUGGAACUAGACUUGGAAUCUGCCUCUCCACAUGCCUCCCCACAAGCCUCUCCUGUGCAGUUAAAUCGGUCUUCAUCUAUUGACUCCACUGAUUCACAGGACACGGUGAUUAUUGAAGAAAGCUCUUCAAGUAAAAGAAUGAGGCUAGAUCAUGAAGCUAAAAAGGUGAGCAUCAAAUUGUUGUUAUUUAUUGGGGAAAAGAUAUAAUUCAUCAAUCUUAAAAAAAAACAAAACAUAUUUAAACAAAAAUUAAGGUUAUGCUUUGUUCUUAAAAUGCCAUAUUCAUGCUUUGUUUUGUUUGUUUGUUGGUGGAAUCCAUUCUUGUCCAGAAACCUGGUGGGGAGCGUGUAAUAAAUGAAUACAACCGAACUAAAACUUUGGGGGAUGAAACGAGAAGGAAAAUGGUGAACAUCCUGGCAGCUGACAUGACAGAAAAGAAUGGUACAUCACCACCACGGCAGGUUAAAGAAAAAUACGCCAGAGGAAUUGUGGCUUUGUUCCCUUACCUCAGUGACCCCUUCUCUAAAAAUGGCUAUGAGCAUUACUAUGACGGUGAGAGUGGCACUGGGUACUUGGCAUGGAGAAUCAAAACUAUACAGAGAGGCUUGGCUAAAGAACGGCGAGCAUCAUUUGAAGGUACAGAAUGAAAUUCAGAAAUCGCCUGUUUUAUUUAUUCUUUUUUUUUUUUUUUUUUUUCCCCAUAGCUCAUUGUGCCAUAUUUCACAGCAGUUUUGUUGCUACUGAGUUGUCUUAAAGGGAUAGUUUACCCAAAAAUGAAAAUUUGAUGUUUAUCUGCUUACCCCCAGGGCAUCCAAGAUGUAGGUGACUUUGUUUCUUCAGUAGAACACAAAUGAUGAUUUUUAACUCCAACUGUUGCCGUCUGUCGCUCAAAUAAUGCAUUGAAAUGGUAACACAAUCUGUAAGAGUCAAACACGACAGACAAAUCCAAAUUAAACCCUGCGGCUCGUGACGACACAUUGAUGUCCUAAGACGAGAAACAAUUGGUAUGUGCGAGAAACCGAACAGUAUUUAUAUAAU